rnacentral:rRNA from 1 species
UCGUCAGCUCGUGUCGUGAGAUGUUGGUUAAGUCCCGCAACGAGCGCAACCCUCGACCUUAGUUGCCAGCAUUCAGUUGGGCACUCUAAGGUGACUGCCGGCUAAAAGUCGGAGGAAGGUGGGGAUGACGUCAAAUCAUCAUGCCCCUUAUGACCUGGGCUACACACGUGCUACAAUGGUUGGUACAACGAGUUGCGAGUCGGUGACGGCGAGCUAAUCUCUUAAAGCCAAUCUCAGUUCGGAUUGUAGGCUGCAACUCGCCUACAUGAAGUCGGAAUCGCUAGUAAUCGCGGAUCAGCACGCCGCGGUGAAUACGUUCCCGGGCCUU